UUAAUAAUAUUCCAGAUAGUUAUAGAUCUGCGUAAGUAUAGGUUUGUAAUGAUAAUUUGUUGUAUUGUUUCUUUUUAAGAUCCGAAUUUCUGGAAUUAGCUGAUUAUUAAAAUGCAGAUAUUUUAUAAUAAAGAAUGGAACUGUAAUUUAGGCCCACCUUCGAAGUCUAGUAUGCUGUCGUUCAAUCGAAACUUUUAUUAAAAAUCACCAACCUUUUGGCGUGUUAGACGAGUUGAAAUGUCAAUAUCCUGUCAUAGGACAUAUAUGACGUGCUAGUGACUUGACUAGACGCCCGUCAAUGGAACGAUUGGGGUAUGAUAUGGAGGAAGGAAUUGCUUAAAAUAUAAGUGCUAUUCACUAUUAAAAUACCAUCCGUCUAAAUUUGGAAAUAUGGUCCCAUGCACAUACAAUACUCACACAAUUGCAGCCCCAAAGAUCAAAGAUAUUAUAGUGAAAGUCUAAAUGCGUUCAUUAAAACCGUGUUUUGUUUACUUCGAUAGAAAUCAAUGAACUUUGAUGCCAGACAUUUUGAAAUUGUUUGCCUUGUAAUUCCAAGGGGAUUCCUGUUAUUCUUGACACAUACCUCAUCGGUUUAUGAUCUGGUUUCAGUUAUUUUGUUUUCUGUUUCUUCAUAACCGAUAACCUUUCUUCAAACCUUCUUCAACAAUUACGAAAUUUCUAAAAUACCAAUUCUGAAAUGGCUAACAAUUCUAAAUGAUAAAUAGUAGACUAGUCAUACAUCUAUCAUUCUUAAUUUGGGUUCCCAUAUGAGUACAAUUAAUGUCCUCCUAUUAUUAUAAUUAAAAACAAUAAUAGAAUAGGACUGAGCAGACGUCACCCUUUGUCCCUAUGUACCAGUCGUCACUGAAAUAUUCAUGCAUUUGUAACUGCUGCAGGUUGUAAUACCUUGUAGUUGUGAUAUCGAUUGUCAUCCGUUUGGGAACGUCGUGUAAAUAUGCUGGUGACAAAUUUUAAAUAACUUGAGUAAAGCGAGCGUGAUUCAGAGCCGAAAUAAAUUACUAGGAAAUGUAUGGGCCGAAGGAUGUUCACAUUUCGUUCAAAUAGAGCAAAUAGAGCGCAAAUGGCGCUAACAUCUCAACUGCUGGUGAUGAUAAAUUCCUCUGGAAUGUAUCCCCAUCGUAAAAACACUAGCAAUGCUUUUAGUAUUUAUGAUGCUUGCUUUGGGUUUGUUUCGUUUCUCUUGAAAACACUACUUACAAAUGAUAAUGAUAACACAUUUCUUUCCCCGCAGGGCUCCUUUUAUCUAUAUACGACUGAACAACAGUAAUGGCCACUUCACAAUGCUCUCUAAAUGUAAUAACAUCACUCUGUGUAACCAUGUGUGUCUGUGUAUGCAGUACGUGCGUUCGUUUGUGUGCACUACUUGUUCAAUAAGGGCUUAAGUCUUCCCAUUGCAAAUAAGAACACUGAAACUCUGAGAGAGCCGAUGGCUAAUCCAGACGUUCAUUUUGAGGCAACUUUAAGCUGAUCCUUCAUUAAUUCGAGAUGGCUGAAGUGCACAAAUAGCCAACUUUAUUCAAUGAAUUGCCAUUAAAACUAUUGUACUUAUCUUGUUACUAUUAGUUCAACAAUAAAUGCUUUAGAAAGUUAAAAAUAUAUUAAAAGCAUAUAUAUCGGAAAUGUCCUUAAUUUUGGAAGCAAGAAGAUUCAGUGGAAAUAUGUGAACUUUUUGAAUAGUACAUAAGAAGUACCAUCCAACAACUAGGAGUGUAUCUACCCAUGAUCUUCUGUUCUCCUUUCUGUGGUUUCUUCUUGGAUAUAGUAAUAUGUUUUGUUUAUUGCUGAGUGUAUGGUAACUAAAUUCAAACUGGCAACCGGCACGAUACCGAUGCCGGAGCCGUUACUGUCACUGGCAUGUCUGAAAACAGCCUAAGCGAAUGAGUGGACCUUAGAAAGAGCUUAAAAGUACAUCGCAACAACGGAUUCUAUAAUUGGAUUGAAAAUACGUACUACAUCAUUAGACGCUUUUUAGCUAUUUAGUCUUAGACAGAGGUUACAAAAAGUUGUUUUUAAAGGUAUAUAAACAUAGACAGAAAGAAGAAUUUAAAAAACCAAUUUUUCAAUUAUCUGAUAUAUUGUUCACAAAAGAUGGCAAGUUUCUCUGAAUUCCCAGGUUAUUUCGUUACUGUGCUCUCAUUUGCAUAGAGUUCCAUGGCAUAUUGUUCUUGUAUAAGAUACAAAAAAUUCGUUACCAGCAUAUUAUAACUCAAUACUAAGAAC
rnacentral:misc_RNA from 1 species